rnacentral:rRNA from 1 species
AUUGAACGCUGACGGCAGGCCUAACACAUGCGAGUCGAGCGGAUGAAGGGAGCUUGCUCCUGGAUUCAGCGGCGGACGGGUGAGUAAUGCCUAGGAAUCUGCCUGGUAGUGGGGGAUAACGUCCGGAAACGGGCGCUAAUACCGCAUACGUCCUGAGGGAGAAAGUGGGGGAUCUUCGGACCUCACGCUAUCAGAUGAGCCUAGGUCGGAUUAGCUAGUUGGUGGGGUAAAGGCCUACCAAGGCGACGAUCCGUAACUGGUCUGAGAGGAUGAUCAGUCACACUGGAACUGAGACACGGUCCAGACUCCUACGGGAGGCAGCAGUGGGGAAUAUUGGACAAUGGGCGAAAGCCUGAUCCAGCCAUGCCGCGUGUGUGAAGAAGGUCUUCGGAUUGUAAAGCACUUUAAGUUGGGAGGAAGGGCAGUAAGUUAAUACCUUGCUGUUUUGACGUUACCAACAGAAUAAGCACCGGCUAACUUCGUG